rnacentral:rRNA from 1 species
AAAUUGAAGAGUUUGAUCAUGGCUCAGAUUGAACGCUGGCGGCAGGCCUAACACAUGCAAGUCGAACGGUAACAGGAAGCAGCUUGCUGCUUCGCUGACGAGUGGCGGACGGGUGAGUAAUGUCUGGGAAACUGCCUGAUGGAGGGGGAUAACUACUGGAAACGGUGGCUAAUACCGCAUAACGUCGCAAGACCAAAGAGGGGGACCUUCGGGCCUCUUGCCAUCAGAUGUGCCCAGAUGGGAUUAGCUAGUUGGUGAGGUAAUGGCUCACCAAGGCGACGAUCCCUAGCUGGUCUGAGAGGAUGACCAGCCACACUGGAACUGAGACACGGUCCAGACUCCUACGGGAGGCAGCAGUGGGGAAUAUUGCACAAUGGGCGCAAGCCUGAUGCAGCCAUGCCGCGUGUAUGAAGAAGGCCUUCGGGUUGUAAAGUACUUUCAGCGGGGAGGAAGGUGUUGUGGUUAAUAACC